AACGAACGCUGGCGGCAGGCCUAACACAUGCAAGUCGAACGAUACCUUCGGGUAUAGUGGCGCACGGGUGAGUAACACGUGGGAAUAUACCUUUCGCUGGGGGAUAACAUCGGGAAACUGAUGCUAAUACCGCAUACGCCCUUCGGGGGAAAGAUUUAUCGGCGAAAGAUUAGCCCGCGUCCGAUUAGUUAGUUGGUGAGGUAAUGGCUCACCAAGACUUCGAUCGGUAGCUGGUCUGAGAGGAUGACCAGCCACACUGGGACUGAGACACGGCCCAGACUCCUACGGGAGGCAGCAGUGGGGAAUAUUGGACAAUGGGCGCAAGCCUGAUCCAGCCAUGCCGCGUGAGUGAUGAAGGCCUUAGGGUUGUAAAGCUCUUUCGACGGGGACGAUGAUGACGGUACCCGUAGAAGAAGCCCCGGCUAACUUCGUGCCAGCAGCCGCAGUAAGAC
rnacentral:rRNA from 1 species